rnacentral:rRNA from 1 species
GAUGAACGCUGGCGGCGUGCCUAAUACAUGCAAGUCGAGCGAACGGACGAGAAGCUUGCUUUUCUGAUGUUAGCGGCGGACGGGUGAGUAACACGUGGAUAACCUACCUAUAAGACUGGGAUAACUUCGGGAAACCGGAGCUAAUACCGGAUAAUAUUUUGAACCGCAUGGUUCAAAAGUGAAAGACGGUCUUGCUGUCACUUAUAGAUGGAUCCGCGCUGCAUUAGCUAGUUGGUAAGGUAACGGCUUACCAAGGCAACGAUGCAUAGCCGACCUGAGAGGGUUAUCGGCCACACUGGAACUGAGACACGGUCCAGACUCCUACGGGAGGCAGCCGUAGGGAAUCUUCCGCAAAGGGCGAAAGCCUGACGGAGCAACGCCGCGUGAGUGAUGAAGGUCUUCGGAUCGUAAAACUCUGUUAUUAGGGAAGAACAUAUGUGUAAGUAACUGUGCACAUCUUGACGGUACCUAAUCAGAAAGCCACGGCUAACUACGUG